UACGGGGGGGGUAAGCGUUGUUCGGAAUUACUGGGCGUAAAGGGCUCGUAGGCGGCCAACUAAGUCAGACGUGAAAUCCCUCAGCUUAACUGGGGAACUGCGUCUGAUACUGGAUGGCUUGGAUUCGGGAGAGGAAUGCGGAAUUCCAGGUGUAGCGGUGAAAUGCGUAGAUAUCUGGAAGAACACCUAUGGCGAAGGCAGCUCUCUGGGACGGUACUGACGCUGAGACGCGAAAGCGUGGGGAGCGAACAGG
rnacentral:rRNA from 1 species